rnacentral:rRNA from 1 species
AUUGAACGCUGGCGGCAUGCCUUACACAUGCAAGUCGAACGGUAACAGGUCUUCGGAUGCUGACGAGUGGCGAACGGGUGAGUAAUGCAUCGGAACGUGCCCAGUAGUGGGGGAUAGCCCGGCGAAAGCCGGAUUAAUACCGCAUACGACCUGAGGGUGAAAGGGGGGGAUCGCAAGACCUCUCGCUAUUGGAGCGGCCGAUGUCAGAUUAGCUAGUUGGUGGGGUAAAGGCCUACCAAGGCAACGAUCUGUAGUUGGUCUGAGAGGACGACCAGCCACACUGGGACUGAGACACGGCCCAGACUCCUACGGGAGGCAGCAGUGGGGAAUUUUGGACAAUGGGCGCAAGCCUGAUCCAGCAAUGCCGCGUGCAGGAAGAAGGCCUUCGGGUUGUAAACUGCUUUUGUCAGGGAAGAAAUCUUCUGGGUUAAUACCUCGGGAGGAUGACGGUACCUGAAGAAUGAGCACCGGCUAACUACGUGCCAGCCGCCGCCGUAAUAC